UUAUUACUCACUCCGUCCAAAAAUUCUCGUCUUAGAUUUAUCUAGAUAUGAAUGCAUCUAGUCAUGUUUUAGUAUUUUGAUACAUUUAUUUUUAGAUAAAGUUAAGACAAUAAUUUUAGAACGGAGGUAUAUC
rnacentral:pre_miRNA from 2 species